rnacentral:rRNA from 1 species
AGUGAACGCUGGCGGUAGGCCUAACACAUGCAAGUCGAACGGCAGCACAGAGGAGCUUGCUCCUUGGGUGGCGAGUGGCGGACGGGUGAGGAAUACAUCGGAAUCUACUCUGUCGUGGGGGAUAACGUAGGGAAACUUACGCUAAUACCGCAUACGACCUACGGGUGAAAGCAGGGGAUCUUCGGACCUUGCGCGAUUGAAUGAGCCGAUGUCGGAUUAGCUAGUUGGCGGGGUAAAGGCCCACCAAGGCGACGAUCCGUAGCUGGUCUGAGAGGAUGAUCAGCCACACUGGAACUGAGACACGGUCCAGACUCCUACGGGAGGCAGCAGUGGGGAAUAUUGGACAAUGGGCGCAAGCCUGAUCCAGCCAUACCGCGUGGGUGAAGAAGGCCUUCGGGUUGUAAAGCCCUUUUGUUGGGAAAGAAAUCCAGCCGGCUAAUACCUGGUUGGGAUGACGGUACCCAAAGAAUAAGCACCGGCUAACUUCGUGCCAGCAGCCGCGGUAAUACGAAGGGUGCAAGCGUUACUCGGAAUUACUGGGCGUAAAGCGUGCGUAGGUGGUUAUUUAAGUCCGUUGUGAAAGCCCUGGGCUCAACCUGGGAACUGCAGUGGAUACUGGAUGACUAGAAUGUGGUAGAGGGUAGCGGAAUUCCUGGUGUAGCAGUGAAAUGCGUAGAGAUCAGGAGGAACAUCCAUGGCGAAGGCAGCUACCUGGACCAACAUUGACACUGAGGCACGAAAGCGUGGGGAGCAAACAGG